rnacentral:rRNA from 1 species
GAUCAUGGCUCAGGAUGAACGCUAGCUACAGGCUUAACACAUGCAAGUCGAGGGGCAGCAUGGUCUUAGCUUGCUAAGGCUGAUGGCGACCGGCGCACGGGUGAGUAACACGUAUCCAACCUGCCGUCUACUCUUGGCCAGCCUUCUGAAAGUAGAAGUAAUUAACUCCGAGGAGUGGGAUCAUGGUAGUUCACAUCGGUCCCGCAUGUAAAGUUUAAAAGUUCGUUUUCCGG